rnacentral:rRNA from 1 species
AACUUCUGAAUGUUGACCUCGGAUCAGGUAGGGAUA